GACGAACGCUGGCGGCGUGCUUAACACAUGCAAGUCGAACGGAAAGGCCCUGCUUUUGUGGGGUGCUCGAGUGGCGAACGGGUGAGUAACACGUGAGUAACCUGCCCUUGACUUUGGGAUAACUUCAGGAAACUGGGGCUAAUACCGGAUAGGAGCUCCUGCUGCAUGGUGGGGGUUGGAAAGUUUCGGCGGUUGGGGAUGGACUCGCGGCUUAUCAGCUUGUUGGUGGGGUAGUGGCUUACCAAGGCUUUGACGGGUAGCCGGCCUGAGAGGGUGACCGGCCACAUUGGGACUGAGAUACGGCCCAGACUCCUACGGGAGGCAGCAGUGGGGAAUAUUGCACAAUGGGCGGAAGCCUGAUGCAGCAACGCUGCGUGCGGGAUGACGGCCUUCGGGUUGUAAACCGCUUUCGCCUGUGACGAAGCGUGAGUGACGGUAAUGGGGAAAGAAGCACCGGCUAACUACGU
rnacentral:rRNA from 1 species